ACUGAGCGCACAAACGCUACCCCUGUUACAAGCAUGAGUGGUUGACUUCAUGCAGACAUGCGCAGACAUUGAAGUACCGCGAGAGUGAUUCAAAAGCCCACGAAACAGUGUAAUCACGCGGUACUGUGAUGUCAUACUGGUUAACGCUAAGCCACGUGAAGCCGGACACAAGGGCUACACUAAUCUUUGGGCUGGAGUAGCCUGUGGUUUUUAAGGCUUCGUGUCUCAUCGCGUUAAACGGUCGCAGAACGAUUUAUUUCUCUUUUUCACCUCGAUCUUUGGCCUCGUGUGAUUUACCAAAACCAACAUGUGAAGUUACAACGCUGACGAAGGAGUUUCAUCAGUAGAGUGUGUCCUGGUAAACGUGUGCUCGGAAACAUGCAGAUUACAGUAUUUACAGAGCCGACCUUGAGUCACCCACUGAUGGAUAAUCUGUUUACCUAAAAACAGCCCACCACAAUCCAUGUUUACCAGCUGUGAAAGUGCAGGCCAAAAAUCUUCCUUCACCUGUGGGCCUCUUCCCACAUGUAGAUAAG